AUUGAACGCUGGCGGCAGGCUUAACACAUGCAAGUCGAGCGGGGAAAGGUAGCUUGCUACCUGACCUAGCGGCGGACGGGUGAGUAAUGCUUAGGAAUCUGCCUAUUAGUGGGGGACAACAUCUCGAAAGGGAUGCUAAUACCGCAUACGUCCUACGGGAGAAAGCAGGGGACCUUCGGGCCUUGCGCUAAUAGAUGAGCCUAAGUCGGAUUAGCUAGUUGGUGGGGUAAAGGCCUACCAAGGCGACGAUCUGUAGCGGGUCUGAGAGGAUGAUCCGCCACACUGGGACUGAGACACGGCCCAGACUCCUACGGGAGGCAGCAGUGGGGAAUAUUGGACAAUGGGGGGAACCCUGAUCCAGCCAUGCCGCGUGUGUGAAGAAGGCCUUUUGGUUGUAAAGCAAUUUAAGCGAGGAGGAGGCUACCGAGAUUAAUACUCUUGGAUAGUGGACGUUACUCGCAGAAUAAGCACCGGCUAACUCUGUGCCAGCAGCCGCC
rnacentral:rRNA from 1 species